CUCAACCCCACCCCUUCCUUCCGGGAGCAAACCCAAGUCUGGUCCCGACUCCGGAUCCCUCCCACAUUAGACCUACCACACCCUCAGGGCAGACAACAGCUCCACACACCCCACACUCAGCCACCAGGGCAAGGGAGCAAAAUUCCAGAAAGCUCAGAGCGGACUGAUGUACUGGCCCUUAGUACAGGUUACCAUGCCAGCAAUGAUUCCUUUUGAGUUUCUGACAGAAGAUAGUGGUUUUCAUCCAAAUAAGUCAACUACUCUACCCCAUCCCUAAGCCACUUGUAUGGAAAGAAAAAGAGGAAGAAGCCAGUACUGUGACUGCGUAAGCUUCCCCCAGCAUCACCCGCUAUGAGAUGUGUGGCAGCUGAGACCCGGGAACUGCUCAAGGGCACCAGGCCCCAUCUGUCUGCACUCACUCACCUUCCUCAG
rnacentral:lncRNA from 1 species